AUGGGCAAAUCCUUGCCCCGCCCCUCCAAGGAGGAAGAGGAAGAAAAGGAGGAGAAUGUGAUGGAGGGGAUGCGGAAGCGGAAGCGGAAGCGGGAGGAGGAGAAGGGGAUGUAUAGGUUGGAGGAGGAGGAGGAGAAAGAGCAGAAGGGCAAGGGAGGUGGGAUUCUCACAAACGAGCUUUUCUCAGAGCUCUGCGUAUCCGAGCUCACCGCCAAGGCGAUCAGAGAGAUGAACUACACCCACCUCACCCAGAUUCAAGCUAGAUCAAUACCUCAUUUGAUGGUAGGAGAUGGUGUGCUGGGUUCAGCCAGGACUGGCUCAGGGAAGACACUUGCUUUCCUUAUACCCGCGAUCGAACUGCUACACAAUGCGCACUUCACGCCGAGGAACGGAACUGUAGUUAUUGUAGUCUGCCCAACAAGGGAGCUUGCUAUCCAGACACACGAUGUUGCCAAGAAAUUAAUGAAGUAUCACUCUCAAACUCUUGGAUAUGUAAUUGGUGGCACUAACAUGAGAAGUGAGGCCAACCAGCUUGUGAAAGGGGUCAAUCUAUUAGUUGCAACGCCGGGCAGGCUUCUGGACCAUCUGAAAAGUACCAGUGGUUUCAACUACAAAGGGCUAAAGUGCCUUAUAAUUGAUGAAGCUGAUCGCAUACUUGAGCAAAAUUUUGAGGAGGACAUGAAACAAAUAUUUAAGCGCCUCCCUCAGAAUAGGCAAACUGUUCUCUUUUCUGCCACACAGACUCAACGGGUUGAAGAUUUUGCAAAUUUUACGUUUGGGAAAAAGGAAGAAAGACAACGAAAACUUGUUUAUGUUGGAGUAGAUGACUCUGAAUUAAAGCCAACCGUUGACGGCUUGCAGCAGGGCUACUGUGUCAUUCCUAGCGAGAAAAGGUUUCUGGUUCUGUAUACUUUCCUAAGAAAGAUGCAGCUUAUGAAGCAGAAGGUGAAGGUCAUGGUGUUCUUUUCAUCGUGUAGCUCUGUCAAAUUCCAUGCAGAAUUUCUAAAUUUCAUUGGGAUAGACAGAAACGCACUACUACAUUCUUUCAAUUUUCAAAAGAGGAAAAAUGGUAUCUUAUUGUGCACUAAUGUGGCAGCACGUGGGCUUGAUAUUCCUAAUGUGGACUAUAUUGUGCAAUAUGAUCCUCCGGAUGACCCAAAGGACUACAUACACAGAGUUGGUCGUACUGCCCGAGGCGAUAAAGGCAAAGGAUGCGCAUUUUUGUUCUUACUACCAGAAGAAUUGAAAUUGCUUAUUUACCUACACGCGUCCAAUAUUUCUCUGACUGAAUACGAGUUCAGUGAAAAGCAUGUGCCAAAAUCGCAAUCGAGACUUGAGAAAAUUGUUGCUGGGAACUAUUUCCUAAACCAGUCAGCGAAGGAAGCCUACAGGUCCUACCUUUUGGCAUACAACUCACACUCUAUGAAGGACAUCUUUGAUGUCCAUCAACUUGAUCUUAAGAAAGUUGCGGCAUCUUUCUGUUUUAAUAGCCCUCCUAAAGUGAAUCUGAACCUGGAGAGUAGUGCAUCGAGACACCGAAAGAUGACGAAAGUGGACGGCAGAAAGAGGCAUGGAAUUAGCCCUUCAAACCCCUAUGGAAGGAGAGGCGGUUGUGAUCGCAUGGAUCUUGCAAGAUUCUAG
rnacentral:rRNA from 1 species